rnacentral:rRNA from 1 species
GACGAACGCUGGCGGCGUGCCUAAUACAUGCAAGUAGAACGCUGAAGGAGGAGCUUGCUUCUCUGGAUGAGUUGCGCACGGGUGAGUAACACGUAGGUAACCUGCCUGGUAGCGGGGGGUAACUAUUGGAAACGAUAGCUAAUACCGCAUAAUAGCAGUUGUUGCAUGACAACUGUUUGAAAGUUGCACUUGCACCACUACCAGAUGGACCUGCGUUGUAUUAGCUAGGUGGUGGGGUAACGGCUCACCAAGGCGACGAUACAUCGGCGCCCUGGGGGGGGGGUCCGCCAAACCGGGACUGGGACCACGCCCAGACUGCUACGGGAGGGAGGAGUAGGGAAACUUUGGCAAUGGGCGGAAGGCUGACCGAGCAACGCCGCGUGAGGGAAGAAGGGUUUCGGAUCGUAAAGCUCUGUUGUAAGAGAAGAACGAGUGUGAGAGUGGAAAGUGCACACUGUGACGGUACCUAACCAGAAAGGGACGGCUAACUACGUG